rnacentral:tRNA from 1 species
GGUUGUGGCUCAGUGGUAGAGCGCUCACCUAGCGCUUUUCGAGGCCCUGGGUUCGAUCCUCAGCACCA